rnacentral:lncRNA from 1 species
GAUGAUACAGGAAGCAAGAGGGAAAUUUAUUCGGACCAUGAUGGAAACAAUAAGGACCAAGAUUAUGUUGCUUAUUGUCAAAGAAGAAAGAAGAAGCUGACAAAUGGAAAGGAAUGUUGUGUCCAAAGAUCAAGAAAAAGCUAGAUGUAAAUAUAAAAGAUUCAUUGAGGUAAAGUUUCCAUUUUUAAUCUUUCUGAUACCUUUAUUAUGACUUCAUGUUACUGGUUACAUACUAUUUUAAUAAGUGUUUUUUAAUAUGCAUGCAAUGAUUGUUGGUGUCUAUGAUGGUUUUUUAAUAUACAUGAUGUUAACUAUUUUUUUAAUAUGCAUGCAAUGAUUGUUGGUGUGUAUGACUGUUUUUUAAUAUACAUAUUAUUGACUAUUUUUUAAUAUGCAUGCAGUUAUUGUUAGUGUGUAUAACUGUUUUUUAAUAUACAUGUUGACUAUUUUUUAAUAGGUAUGCAAUGAGUAUUUCUUUUUUAAUAAUAUGCAUGUAGUGACUAUUUUUUAGGUGUGUGUGCGCGUAUGUGUGUGUAUCGUUGUUGGUGGGGCUGCUCACAAUGUUGUUUUAGUGAUUGUUUUUUAACCAAGCAUGGUGACUGUUUUUUAAAUGUGUUUCAUCACAUGCUGGUGGGGACAAGUAUCAGGUUGAAUGUGGUCCAUGCAGCCAGCAUGUAGUGGACUUAGUUGAGAAUUCUUGCUCCUAUAGGAAUUGGAAUCUCCCUGGCAUCCCUUGUAACACCCCCUAACCCUAAACCAUUUCGAAAAAGGGUUAUGGAGCAUUACCAGAGUUUACAGAAUAAUUACACACAAUUCCAUUACUUUCUUAGGUUCAUGUCAAAAUUGUCUUCUUGAGCAAUAGUCACUAAAAUAUUUAUAUCUUAAGCUACAGAACUUGAAAUUAAGAUCCGCUAAUUUUCCUUAAAACUAGACUCAUAUACCUUUCUACCAUAAAAUUUUCAGAAUUUUUGGUUUAGCCAAUUAGUACAGUUUAUUUCUAAAAUUUUCCCCUGUUUUGCUGUCCAACAGUUCUGACCUCUCUUCACUAAAAAUUAUUUAUCUCAUAAUUCAGGACUCGGAUGAUGUUCCUGUCUAUCCCUCUUGAAAAUAGACUCGAUAAAUAUUUUAACUAUAUAAAUUAAAACUCAUAAUUAUUUUAGUAUAAUUUCUAAUGAUUUUCUAAAAUCAGAAUAGAGGAUCUCGAAGUCAUUCAGACUCUGUCUCACAACAAUUUAAAUAUCUCAUAACAUAAAAUCCAAUUGCAUGCACCAUUUCUCUAUAUGAAACUAGACUCAUCAGGCUUUAAUCUCAUAUUUUAUUCAGCCCUUAAUUCAAUUUUCAAUAUUUAUGGUGAAUUUUAAAAGUUACACUACUGCAGUAACCCAAAACUGCCAAGGCCAUAUUUAUUCAUUCACCACUAUUAUUCACUAAAUCCAUACAAUAUCAUUUCAUCCUUACAUUUACAAUUUCAAAAUGACACACACAUAAGACAUCCUAGGUACAUGCCAUUACCAAUAAUUAACACACUUUACCUUAAUGAAUUCGGGAUCGAACUGGGAUGCUGAUUCAACGUUCUAUCUUUACUAAACCUACGCACGGAAACAAACCGUACGCUGAGUAUGGUAUACUCAGUGGUAUUUCCAUAAUCCGAACACUUAAUAAUAUAACAAUUAAACUUAAAAUCAUAAUAACAAUUAUAAGUAUUCAUUUAUUUGUUUUAUAGAUAAAAUUCAUUUACUUACCAUAAAAAUUCUAUACAAGUCAUAUAACAAACACAAUAACAUAUUUGUUCAAUUCUUUUCAUUUACUUACCGUAUAAAUUCUAUACAAUAUAUUCACAAUUCACUUGUUUUCACACUUUACUUCUUAACAAUAUACUAUUUUAAUUCAUUCUAACAUCAAUCAUCAUCCAUUUGAACUUCACUCAUUUCAUGAACCUUUUGGUUCAUGUUUUCAAUCUCAUAUCUCAAUUUCAAUUCUUAAUUCAAUUUCUCAUUUCAUUCCAAUAGCUCAAUCAAUCAAAUUCACUCGACUUAUCUUUUCACUUAUUUACCCCUAUUAACAAGACUCGGACUCUGAUAGAUACGCGGAUUCCUCCCAAACACACCAGAAUAUCCAACCCAAACACACCCGGAAUAUUAUAAAUCCUCCAUAACACACCAGUAUAUCAUAUCCUCCCAAACACACCCAUAAGGCAUUAAAUGCCUCUUCGGAUAAAUCGAAGUAUAUAAUAACAGAAACAUCUUCUCGGCCGAACUACAAAUCUCCUCAUCACAUCACAAACCCAAUGGCAUGCCAUUUGUAUCCAAUCUGGUCCGACACUGUUAAUAGGGUAUUUGAUUCACUUUCUCAAUUUAAUAAAUCUUUCAUCAAUAUACCAUUCUAAUAAUCACAUAUUUUCACACAUUUUCACAAUUUCAUACAUUUUCAUUCAAUUCAACAAAUAUAUUUCAAUUAUUCACAUUAAUUCAUAAUCCAAUACAACUCAAUUCACUUUUCAAUAUCAAAUAUUCAAUUAUCACAAGUCUCAUAUAUUCAUAUCAAUUCCCUCAUAUUUCCAAUCAAUAUAAUUUUUCAAUAUAACAUUCAUUAAUCAAUAUUCAAUUUUUUACAUAGAUCAUAUAUAUAUAUAUAUUAUAAUUUCAAUCAAUAUAAAUUUAAUCAAAAUGAUUUCAAUCAAUAUAAAUUUGAUAAAUUCAUCACAUACCAAAAUUAAUCCAUUUUAAUUGUAAAACAUCAUAAUUCUAACACUAACAAUUGUCAUAUGUAUAUAAAUAUAACAAAUAAUGACUGAGUUCGGAUUAUAGAAAUACAAACCGUAUUUUUCGAGCUUUUCCAAGCUUUUCCUCGUCGACUUUGCUAUUUUCUUACUUAGCCGAAACUUCUCGAGACAACAUUAGCUACGGGAAUUAAAACAAUUCAUAUUCGUUAAUUCACUACUAAUUUAUAUCUAAUUAAUACAAUUUUUAUUCAAUUUCUACUUUAAUUUCAAUUUAAUCCUAACUAAAUUCACUUACUUUUCUAUCUUAAUUCAUACUUUAUUUCUACUCAAUUUUUAACCAAACUUAGACAUAAUUAUCUAUUUUUC